rnacentral:rRNA from 1 species
AUUGAACGCUGGCGGCAUGCCUUACACAUGCAAGUCGAACGGCAGCACGGGGCAACCUGGUGGCGAGUGGCGAACGGGUGAGUAAUGCAUCGGGACGUGCCCAUUUGUGGGGGAUAACUACGCGAAAGCGUGGCUAAUACCGCAUACGCCCUGAGGGGGAAAGCGGGGGAUUCUUCGGAACCUCGCGCAAUUGGAGCGGCCGAUGUCAGAUUAGCUUGUUGGUGAGGUAAAGGCUCACCAAGGCGACGAUCUGUAGCGGGUCUGAGAGGAUGAUCAGCCACACUGGGACUGAGACACGGCCCAGACUCCUACGGGAGGCAGCAGUGAGGAAUUUUGGACAAUGGGGGCAACCCUGAUCCAGCCAUGCCGCGUGAGUGAGGAAGGCCUUCGGGUUGUAAAGCUCUUUCAGCCGGGAAGAAAGCGCACUCUCUAACAUAGGGUGUGGAUGACGGUACCGGAAGAAGAAGCACCGGCUAACUACGUGCCAGCCGCCGCCGUAACAC